rnacentral:rRNA from 1 species
UAAGUUAAUAAGGGCGCACGGUGGAUGCCUUGGCACUAGGAGCCGACGAAGGACGUGACAAACGACGAUAUGCCUUGGGUAGCUGUAAGUAAGCGAUGAUCCAGGGAUUUCCGAAUGGGGGAACCCAACAGGUAAUACCUGUUACCUACAUCUGUUAAGGAUGUGAGGAGGAAGACGCAGUGAACUGAAACAUCUAAGUAGCUGCAGGAAGAGAAAGCAAAAGCGAUUGCCUUAGUAGCGGCGAGCGAAACGGCAGAAGGGCAAACCGAAGAGUUUACUCUUCGGGGUUGUAGGACUGCAAUGUGGACUCAAAGAUUAUAGAAGAAUGAUUUGGGAAGAUCAGCCAAAGAGAGUAAUAGCCUCGUAUUUAAAAUAGUCUUUGUACUUAGCAGUAUCCUGAGUACGGCGGGACACGUGAAAUCCCGUCGGAAUCUGGGAGGACCAUCUCCCAACCCUAAAUACUCCCUAGUGACCGAUAGUGAACCAGUACCGUGAGGGAAAGGUGAAAAGCACCCCGGGAGGGGAGUGAAAUAGAACCUGAAACCGUGUGCCUACAACAAGUUCGAGCCCGUUAAUGGGUGAGAGCGUGCCUUUUGUAGAAUGAACCGGCGAGUUACGUUAUGAUGCGAGGUUAAGUUGAAGAGACGGAGCCGUAGGGAAACCGAGUCUGAAUAGGGCGCCUUAGUAUCAUGGCGUAGACCCGAAACCAUGUGACCUACCCAUGAGCAGGUUGAAGGUGCGGUAAGACGCACUGGAGGACCGAACCAGGGCACGUUGAAGAGUGCUUGGAUGACUUGUGGGUAGCGGAGAAAUUCCAAACGAACUUGGAGAUAGCUGGUUCUCUCCGAAAUAGCUUUAGGGCUAGCGUCGACAUUAGAGAUUCUUGGAGGUAGAGCACUGUUUGGGUGAGGGGUCCAUCCCGGAUUACCAAUCUCAGAUAAACUCCGAAUGCCAAUGAAUUAUGGUCGGCAGUCAGACUGCGAGUGCUAAGAUCCGUAGUCGAAAGGGAAACAGCCCAGACCACCAGCUAAGGUCCCAAAAUAAUUGUUAAGUGGAAAAGGAUGUGGGGUUGCACAGACAACUAGGAUGUUAGCUUAGAAGCAGCUAUUCAUUCAAAGAGUGCGUAAUAGCUCACUAGUCGAGUGACCCUGCGCCGAAAAUGUACCGGGGCUAAAACAAUUUACCGAAGCUGUGGAUACCUUUAUAGGUAUGGUAGGAGAGCGUUCUAUGUGUGAUGAAGGUAUACCGUGAGGAGUGCUGGAACGCAUAGAAGUGAGAAUGCCGGUAUGAGUAGCGAAAGACAGGUGAGAAUCCUGUCCACCGUAAGACUAAGGUUUCCAGGGGAAGGCUCGUCCGCCCUGGGUUAGUCGGGACCUAAGGAGAGACCGAAAGGUGUAUCCGAUGGACAACAGGUUGAUAUUCCUGUACUAGAGUAUGUAGUGAUGGAGGGACGCAGUAGGCUAACUAAAGCAGACGAUUGGAAGAGUCUGUCUAAGCAGUGAGGUGUGAAUUGAGUCAAAUGCUUAAUUCUAUAACAUUGAGCUGUGAUGGGGAGCGAAGUUUAGUAGCGAAGUUAGUGACGUCACACUGCCAAGAAAAGCUUCUAGCGUUUAAACAUACUCUACCCGUACCGCAAACCGACACAGGUAGUCGAGGCGAGUAGCCUCAGGUGAGCGAGAGAACUCUCGUUAAGGAACUCGGCAAAAUGACCCCGUAACUUCGGGAGAAGGGGUGCUGACUUAAAGUCAGCCGCAGUGAAUAGGCCCAAGCAACUGUUUAUCAAAAACACAGCUCUCUGCUAAAUCGUAAGAUGAUGUAUAGGGGGUGACGCCUGCCCGGUGCUGGAAGGUUAAGAGGAGUGCUUAGCGUAAGCGAAGGUAUGAAUUGAAGCCCCAGUAAACGGCGGCCGUAACUAUAACGGUCCUAAGGUAGCGAAAUUCCUUGUCGGGUAAGUUCCGACCCGCACGAAAGGCGUAAUGAUUUGGGCACUGUCUCAACGAGAGACUCGGUGAAAUUUUAGUACCUGUGAAGAUGCAGGUUACCCGCGACAGGACGGAAAGACCCCAUGGAGCUUUACUGCAGUUUGAUAUUGAGUGUCUGUACCACAUGUACAGGAUAGGUAGGAGUCUAAGAGAUCGGGACGCCAGUUUCGAAGGAGACGCUGUUGGGAUACUACCCUUGUGUUAUGGCCACUCUAACCCAGAUAGGUGAUCCCUAUCGGAGACAGUGUCUGACGGGCAGUUUGACUGGGGCGGUCGCCUCCUAAAAGGUAACGGAGGCGCCCAAAGGUUCCCUCAGAAUGGUUGGAAAUCAUUCGCAGAGUGUAAAGGUAUAAGGGAGCUUGACUGCGAGAGCUACAACUCGAGCAGGGACGAAAGUCGGGCUUAGUGAUCCGGUGGUUCCGUAUGGAAGGGCCAUCGCUCAACGGAUAAAAGCUACCCUGGGGAUAACAGGCUUAUCUCCCCCAAGAGUUCACAUCGACGGGGAGGUUUGGCACCUCGAUGUCGGCUCGUCGCAUCCUGGGGCUGUAGUCGGUCCCAAGGGUUGGGCUGUUCGCCCAUUAAAGCGGCACGCGAGCUGGGUUCAGAACGUCGUGAGACAGUUCGGUCCCUAUCCGUCGCGGGCGUAGGAAAUUUGAGAGGAUCUGCUCCUAGUACGAGAGGACCAGAGUGGACUUACCGCUGGUGUACCAGUUGUCUUGCCAAAGGCAUCGCUGGGUAGCUAUGUAGGGAAGGGAUAAACGCUGAAAGCAUCUAAGUGUGAAACCCACCUCAAGAUGAGAUUUCCCAUGAUUAUAUAUCAGUAAGAGCCCUGAGAGAUGAUCAGGUAGAUAGGUUAGAAGUGGAAGUGUGGCGACACAUGUAGCGGACUAAUACUAAUAGCUCGAGGACUUAUCCA